rnacentral:lncRNA from 1 species
AUUCACUCAGAGCAGACCGAAGACUGUGAGACUUCCUCCCCACAGUGAGCUAAAAGGACGCUUUUGUCAGAGUGGGGAAAUAAAAGGGCUUUAUGGGAAGGAAGAUAAGAACAGAUGAGUCAGAGGUUUCUGCUUAAUGCUCACUCUUCAAUUCUUUCCCGAGCAAAACCAAGAAUCUUCUUGGGCUAAGCCCCAAUUUGGGGUUCACCUGCCUUGCAGCAACAUGGCACCAAACAUGCGGCAGAAGAGAGAAAACGACAGCAUGAGAGACGGAGAAAGAAAUGGCCAGUUGGCAAGGUGGUAAUGAGAGACAGCAGUUGGCAAGACAGUGAGAGACAGCAAGAGAUGGCAAGUGACAGUUAUUGUUAAGAUGACAAAUGGAGAGAUGGCAAGAAAUAGAGAAGCAGUCAGUGAUGGAGGCUGCAAGAGUUGUAACACUAACCAAAGGCUCUUUUUAGAAUCAUCGUUUUCCCUGGCAGGUGGUACAGCCAAGCAGACAGGCAAGUAAGUGGCCAUACUGCUACUGCCUCAUGUAGGAUCCGGCAGGCUGGUGGGUUAUCAGUCCUCACGUGGGACCCUCCCACCAUGGCAGCUGAGCACAUCCAAGCUGGGGGAUCCUGAAGAGACCUUCACCUGGGUGCCACGUGGAAGAUUGGCCAGCACCAUUUUGACUCCUGUGGAUGGAGCUAGCUGAGGUUUUAUUUUGGACACACAAAAAAGAAAAAAGCAAUUGAAUUGUUUUGUAGCUGGAGACAUGGGCAAGGGGGUAUCCCCAAGCAGUAAACUCCUCCGCAGGUGGGCUGAGGGCUAGGGCUGAGCCUCAGGUGGGUCUCCCGUUCCCUGUGCUCCCCUGCACAGCGGCCUCCCUCCCGGACUCUGGGGCAGCCGCAGGAGGGGCAGGCUGGGAGGGGCUGCCCUGGCUGUUCACUUGGGCAGGACGUCAAAGGACUCGGACACCGGACUCGGACACCGGCUUCCCGUUGCAGGUCUGGAUCUUCUUCACAACCACGGCCCUGGUGGAGCUGGUGCGGCUGAAGGAGCUGGCGCCCAUGCCAGAGCCAAAGCUGGAGCCCAGACCGUAGCUGAGGCCGGGGCUCGUGAGGCCCCCAUAGGCCGAGCUCAGCGCACCUGCAUAGCUGCUGGUGGUCUUCGUAUGGAUACUCCUGUUCUGCAUCCCAGACUCCAGCCGGCUCUCCUCGCCCUCUAGCAGCUUCCUGUAGGUGGCGAUCUCGAUCUCGAUGUCCAGGGCCAGCUUGACGUUCAUCAGCUCCUAGUACUCACGCAGCUGCCGCGCCAUGUCCUGCUUGGCCGGCUGGAGGGCGGCCUCCAGCUCGGACAGCUUGGCGUUGGCACCCUUAACUGCCAGCUCCUCAGGCUGCUCGGCAUCUGUGAUGGCGGCCUCCAGGGAAGCCCUCUGGCCUUUGAGGCACUCAGUCUCAGCCUGGAGCCCACUGAUGUUCCAGUUUAUCUCGGAGGUCUCAGUCUUUGUAUGCUGCACGUCAUCCCAGUGCCUCCCAGCCAGCGCCUGCAGCUUCUCAUACUUGAUCUGGUACAUGCUCUCAGCCUCAGCCCGCCUGCGGUUGGCGAUCUCGUACUGCGCCUUGACCUCAGCGAUGAUGCUGUCCGUGUCCAUGGAGCGGCUGUUGUCCAUGGACAGCACCACAGACGUGGCGGAGAUCUGGGACUGCAGCUCCCGGAUCUUCUCUUCAUACAGCCGCCUGAGGAAGUUGAUCUCGUCAGUCAGCCCUUCCAGGCCAGACUCCAGCUCUAACUUGUUCAUGUAAGCUUCAUCCACAUCCUUCUUGAUGAGGACAAAUUGAUUCUCCAUCUCUGUACGCUUAUUGAUCUCAUCCUCGUACUUGUUCUUGAAGUCCUCCACCAGCCCCUGCGUGUUGCCAAGCUCCGUCUCCAGCUUCAGCUUCUCCUGGCCCAGAGUCUCCAGCUGCCGCCUAAGGUUGUUGAUGUAGCUCUGGAACAUGUUGUCCGUGUUGCUCCCAGCCGUCUGCUGCUGCUGCAGGAGGCUCCACUUCGUCUCCUGAAUCUUGUUCUGCUGCCCCAGGAACCGCACCUUGUCGAUGAAGGAGGCAAACUUGUUGGUGGGGUUCUUGAUCUGCUCCUUCUCCUGGGUGCGCAUGGCCUGGAUGUUGAGAUCCACCUCCUAAGGGGGCUCAGCAGACUCUGGUUGACUGUGACAGCAGUGAUGCCUCCCAUGCCGCUGGUCCCACCAUAGCCUCUGCCCAGGCCAGCCCAGAAGCUGCUGCUGCCCAGUAGGGAGAAGCUCUAAGAGCUGAUGCAGGCACUGGGCCCACUCGUAUAGGAGCGGCAUAGCAGCAUUUUUACAAUAAUCCAGUAACCCUGUUGUUCAUCAAUAGCAUAAUUGAGAAAUAUAUUGUGAUAUAUUUAUACGAUGGAAACUAUUCAGCAAUGGGAAUGACUGAACUACAGCACUAUGAAUCUUAUAGAUUGAGUAUACGAAGCAAGAUACAAAUUACUCCAUUUAUAUAAAUGUAAAAAAAAAAACAAAACAAAACCUAGGCAGCAUAGCCAAACCCUGUCUGCACAAAAAUGUAAAAUAAAAUUAGCCAGGUAUGGUGGAGGAUGAGUCCUAGCUACUUAGGAGGCUGAGGUGUGUGGAUCACUUGAGCCAGGAGUUCAAGGCUGCAGUGAGUCAUGACAGGACAGAGGGAGACCUGUCUACUGUCUGUCCCUAUAGAAAAAGAAAAAAGUAAGUCAAAAAACAAGCCAAAUGAAACUAUAUUGUUGAGAGAUGUGUAUAUAAGUGGUAAAAUGGAAAACAAGCAAGUAGCUAACAUAAAAUUCAAGAUCAUGGUUACCUCUAGAGAUAGAAUGGGGUGUGUGACCUGAGGGAAGUCUCGUAUGGAUGAAGGGCUGCUUUUGGGGUGCUGGGUAAAUUCUAAUUUUUGAAGUGGGUGGUGGUGGAAUGUUUUAAAAACAUUAAAACUUUUUAAAAUGAAUGGUGCUUAUAAGGGAUUAAAAAAAAAAAACAUGAAGCAUAACCUGAAGUUUUCAUGAUGCCAGUCUCCUGGUGUCUUUUCCUGAAUUUGGCAGACAGGAUGGCCAGAGGAAAUGCAUCAAUGCAGAGGGACAGAAACAGCAGUGUGGCCUGGGAAAGGUCAGGCUUUGACACAAGGAAUUUAGAGAAGAAAAAAGGUGUGGUCUGCUGUUUCAUUCAGUCCAUUAUCUGUUGAGCAUUCCUUUUUUUAUUCAAAUAGAGCAGAAGAAAGGAGCUUGAAAUGGACAGUUAUCUCUGGUUUAUCUGGCUGUAGAGUGCAGAGAUGAUUCUCUUUCAGGAUGGGAGAGGGGGUGGGGAGGAGGAGAGAGGUGGGAAUGUAAUGAUGAUGGUGAUGGGUUGAUGAAUGUGAGACUGGAGGUUUUUUUCAUACAAAGUCUCGCUCUUGUUCCCCAAGCUGGAGUGCAAUGGCAUGAUCUUGGCUCACUGCAACCUCCGCCUCUUGGGUUCAAGCAAUUCUCCUGCCUCAGCCUCCCAAGUAGCUGGGAUUACAGGCACCUGCCACCAUGCCCAGCUAAUUUUUGUAUUUUAAGUAGAGACAGGGUUUCACUGUUUUGGCCAGGCUGGUCUCGAACUCCUGACCUUAGGUUAUCCACCCGCCUCGGCUUCCCAAAGUGCUGGGAUUACAGGUGUGAGCCACCGCGCCUGGCUGAGACUGGAGUUUUAAAUUACAGUAGUCCCUCCUCCUGUAUCUGCGGUUUCAGUUACCUGAGGUCGACCACACUCUGAAAUUAUUAAAUGAGAAAAAUCCAGAAACAAACAAUUCAUAAAUUUUAAAUUGCAUGUUGUUCUGAGUAGCAUGGUAAGAUCUCAAGCAAUUCCACUCCGUCCUGCUCAGGAGGAAUCAUUUCUUUGACUUAUCCCUUUGUCCAGCAUUUCCACUCUGUCUAUGCUACCCUUCAUUGGUCGCUUGGUAAAGGUCUCGGUUAUCAGAUCAACUGUUGCGGUAUCACAGUGCUUAUGUUCAAGUAACCCUUAUUUUACUUAAUAAUGGCCCCUAAGUGCUAGAGUAGUGAUGCUGGUAUAUUGUUAUAAUUGUUUUAUUUUAUUAUUACUGUUAAACUCUUACUGUGUGUAAUUUAUACAUUAAACUUUAUCAUAGGUAUGUACGUAUAGGAAAAAAACACAGCAUAUAUAGGGUCUGAUAUUAUUCAAAGCUUCAGGCAUCCGUUGGAGCAUCUUGGAAAGUAUCCCCUUGGAUAAGAGAGGACUAGUGUAUAUUGAAUGACUAGAAGACGAAUGAGCCCAUCCAAGAUACUGUUAAGGCACAGAGAAGGGAAAUGUGACAACACUGAGUUGAAGGCAGUGACUGGAGGAAAAUAAAACAGUUUCAUGUUUGUGCCCCCACUGAGUUUCAGAUUAUUCAACUAACCAGUCACCUGCCGUGUAGAGCUUCUUUCUUUCCCAAGAUCUUGCUGUCUUGCUUAGAGAUUUCAGGUUUCUUCCCUUAUAUGCGUGCUGGGAAUUCAGCAGUGGAAGCUCUGUCCAGAUGCCUUCUGCUGGAAUUAGCAAUAGAAUCUCACAAAUUGUUUAAGCCCAGCUAUGUCUCUUCUUGACUUCUUGAGUGAAUCCCAAGAGGCAUUGGAACUUUACUUUUGCUGACUGUUUCCCCAUUUUUCCUUCUGAUUCUUUCAGUUUCUGGUUAUUGGCUAGGGUUGUUUGUGAGUCAUCUAACUUGUAUUUUUGCUGUUCCAUAGCCUGCCCAUGAAUGCAGGGGAUUGGGGUGAGAAGGCAGCCCACGCAUUCAAGUUGAAUUUGUGCAGGGUGGUGAGCUUCCCCCUGGGUAGGCAGCAGACUUGGUUAGGAGCCUGGUUUCAUGGUUUGACCACUGGUGAUCUCUGCUGGGUGGCUGGUGGGAUCUAGUCUCUGAUAGGUGAGAGAUGACAGAGAAUCUCGUUUGUUAGCUCUUUUUUUUUUUUUUUUUUUUUUUUGACAAAGUUUCCCUCGUGUUGCCCAAGCUGGAGUGCAAUAGCGUGAUCUCAGCUCACUGCAACCUCUGCCUCCUGGGUUCAAGUGAUUCUCCUGCCUCAGCCUCCCAAGUAGCUGGGAUUACAGGUGCAUACCACCAUACCCUGCUAAUUUUUUGUAUUUUUAGUAGAAAUGGGGUUUCACAAUGUUAGCCAGGCUGGUCUUGAACUCCUGACCUCAGGUGAUCUGCCCGCCUUGGCCUCCCAAAGUGCUGGGAUUACAGGCAUGAGCCACCGCACCCAGCCUGUUAGUUCAUUUUGUAUGACAGAUUGUUUAUUUGUGAGAUCAAGUCACUUAAACUCUUUUGUGCCCAAAAGAAGGAGAAGAGCCCUUUGAGAUCUGUCUGAACUGGUGAGUUUUUGUGGUUCUGUGGCUACUGACCGAUGAGGAGUUAUAAAAAUGAAGCUGCAAACUCUGGGGUCUCUAGGCCUGUAAAUGAGAAAAGCCUUAAAUCUCAUUGUGUGAAUGGGGAAAAUUUUUCUACCUCCUGAGGGUAUUAACAAAUUAGAUUAUAAAGAUUUAAAUUAAAGGGGCUUUGUCCUGAUUGGUUUAUAGAGACCAGUAAGAGCUUUUGUAAAUCCAAUUUUGCCCAAACUCCCAGAAAACAAAGAAGCUGAACUCCUAAUACUUUAAAUGGGAUAAGCAAAACAAAACAAAAACCUUUUUCAUAGAAACUGCUAGCUCAGAAGCAAUUUUAUACAAUAAUCCACGGUUCAUGUAAUCAGGAAAGGUUUAAUCCUUGGGCAAGUCAGACUGAUUUGAUGAUUUUGCCCUAAAAAGUAACAUCUUUUUACUGAUUUUACCAGUGUAGAAUAUAAUACAAACAUAUGUUUCAGUUUAUUUUAUUUUUUUUAACUGUACCUGCUGGAAUAGGAUUAGUUUGAUUUUAAGAAUUGCUUUUGUUUUCUUAUGGAGAAAAUAAUCUGUAUACCGAACACACAGACGUACUCCUCUGCCUCUGUUGGUCCCAGUAUCAAUCACCCUUCUUCCAACUUUAUCAAUCACCCUCUUUCCAACUUUACCUAAGUAGCUAAGUUCUGUUUCAGGGAGGGAGAGAACUGGGAGGUAGGGCAUGGAGAACUAUCUAUUAUAUACAAACAUUUUAUCAAAUCAACAGUGUUUACAAAGAAUAUAUAAUAUGACCCCCACAGCCAUAUACAUAUAUCUUUUUUAUACUUUUUUUUUUUUUUUUUUUUUUGCGGGGGGGACAGAGUCUCACCCUGUCACCCAGGCUGGAGUGCAAUGGCACGAUCUCGGCUCACUGCACCUCCGCCUCCCGGGUUCAAGCAAUUCUCCUGCUUCAGCCUCUUCAGUAGUUGGGAUUACAGGCAUGUGCCACCACGCCUGGCUAAUUUUUGUAUUUUUACUAGAGACGGGGUUUCACCAUGUUGGCCAGGCUGGUCUCAAACUCCUGACCUCAAGUGAUCUACCUGCCUCAGCCUCCCAAAGUGCUGGGAUUAUAGGCGUGGGCCACUGGGCCUGGCCUACACUUUCUUAAAAUGGCAAUGAUGAACACACUCAUGAAAAUGACCCAAAGGUUAAGCCACUCCAUAAUAUAGAAAAGUAAGAAGUAAAGGUAGACAGACUAUGCUUGGUGACCCAUGUUUGAGCAUUCUAUCUUAAUUAGAAAUUAUCCAGAUACCCAAAAAUUAUUAUUUAAUAUUUAACCUAGGUUUUAAAGUUAGCUGGCCGGGUGCAGUGGCUCAUGCCUGUAAUCCCAGUGCUUUGGGAGUCCAAGGCGGGCAGAUCAACUGACGUCAGGGGUUCGAGACCAGCCUGAGCAACAUGGACAAACCCCGUCUCUACUAAAAAUAAAGAAAAAAUUAGCCUGGUGUGGUGGUGCAUGCCUGUAAUCCCAGCUACUCAGGAGGCUGAGGUAGGAAAAGCACUUGAACCCUGGAGGUGGAGGUUGCGAUGAGCCGAGAUCACGCCAUUGCACUCCAGCCUGGACAACGAGAGCGAAACUCCAUCUCGAAAUAAAUAAAUAAGUAAAUAAAUAAAUAAGGUUAGCUAAAGAAGGAAAAAAAGUUAGCUAAAGAUCUUGGGGAUUAUAUUUAAACGGAUGUAUUAUAGAACCUAACUACUACUUAUAUAAAAAAAUUGGUCAGAAUUGUGCUUCAGCUGGCAUGGUGGCUCACACCUAUAAUCCCAGCACUUUGGGAGGCCAAGGCAGGAGGAUUGCUUUGAGCCCAGGAGUUUGAGACCAGCCUGGGCAACAAAGCGAAACCCCAUCUUAAAAAAAAAUAAUUUAGUUAAACGCAUUAUUCUGUUUUCCUUUUUUUUGAGACAAGGUCUCUCUCUGCCACCCAGGUUGGAAUGCAGUGGUGUGACCAUGGCUCACUGCAGCCUUGACCUCCUGGGCUCAAUUAAUCUUCCUACUUAAGCCUCCCUAACAGCUGGGACCACAGUGCACACCACCACUCCCAGCUAUAUAUAUAUUCUUUAAUGCUUUGUAGAGAUGAAGAAGUGUCACUGUGUUGCCCAGGCUGGUCUCAAACUCCUGGGCUCAAGCGAUCCACCUGCCUCGGUCUCCUAAAACACUGGGAUUACAGGCUUAAGCCACCAUGCCCGGCCUGUGUUUUUCUUAAUCUUACUAUCUCAAAUUAGGUAUCUAUCAUUCCCAUGGAUGUUUUUAUGUCUUUAUUACAUAUGUUGGUGUAUCCAUAAACAAUUUCUACUAUUUUGCAUGUUUUAAAGCUUUUUGUAAAUGCUGUUAUUUUGCAUGAAUUCCUUUGCAACUUGUUUUUUUUUUUUUUUUUUUGAGCUUAUAUUUUUAAACCUUCUUAUUUGGGAAUAAUUUUAGGUUUACAGGAAAAUUGCAAAAGUAGUACAGUUACUGUAUGCCUUUCAGUCAGCUUCUAAUGUUAACACCAUACAUAACUGUGGUGCAUUUAUCAAAACUAAGAAAUAGCCUGUAAUCUCAGCACUUUGGGAGGCCGAGGUGGGCGGAUCAUGAGGUCAGGAGUUCGAGACUGUCCUGGCUUACACGGUGAAACCCCAUCUCUACUAAAAAUACAAAAAAUUAGCUGGGUGUGGUGGCACGCUCCUGUAGUCCCAGCUACUCCGGAGGCUGAGACAGGAGAAUUGCUUGAACCCUGGAGGCAGAGCUUGCAGUGAGCUGAGAUCGCGCCAUUGCACUCCAGCCUGGGCGACGCAGCAAGACUAUCUCAAAACAAAACAAAACAAAAACUAAGAAAUAAACGUUGGUACAAUACUAUUAACUAAGCUAUAGACUUUAUUCAGAUUUCACCAGUUUUUCCACUAAUGUCCUUUUCCAGGAUCCUACCCAGGAUACCACAUUACACUUAGCAGAUUGCAUUUUUGAGAUUUAUGAUGACACAUGACAUUUUAAUUUAUUCAUUCUAAUUGAAGUUGGAUUCCCAUUGUUUGACCAUACCAACAUGUAUUUAUUCUCCUGUCGGUAGGUAGUUAGGUUGUUUCCAAAUUUCUUUUACUAUUACAAACAAUGGUGCAAUACUUGUACCUCUGUCCUUAUCUUCUUUACACUGUCAGGAAACAGAGAGCACCUAUCUAUAAUUUACGAUGAAGUCUAAGCCUGUACCUUCAAAACCUGGCUCUGACUUUUUCUUCUAGCCUCCUCUUCAUCUCCCACCAAACCUCCAGGUUCAGGACUGGUUACUCCAGCUCUCUCCAAUGUUUUCUUUUUCUUUCUUUUUUUUAUUUUCUUUUUUUAUUUUUUAGCAUCAGGGUCUCAGUCUUUUUGUCCAGGCUGGAGUACAGUGGCAUGAACAUAGCUCACUUUAACCUUGAACUCCUAGGCUCAAGCAAUCCUCCCACCUUAGCCUCCCAAGUACUAGGACUACAGGCACUUGCCACCAUGCCUGGCCAUUUUUAUUGUUUAUUUUUGAAGAGACGGGGUCUUGCUUUGUUGCCCAGGCUGGUCUGGAGCUCCUGGGCUCAAGCAAUUCUCCCACCUCGGCCUUGCAAAGUGCUGGGAUUAUGGAUGUGAGUCACCGCAAUUGGCCUUCAGCCUUCCCUUUUCUGGUCAUCUUUCUUACCCCACUGCCAGCCCCAGCAGUGUCUAUCUGAAUGCUGUGCAAUUUAAGAGUAAAAUAGGGUUAGUAAGGAAAGCUUGGACUGGGCAUGAAAGAGACUUAUGUUCAUGUCUAUCUACCUCUUCAUUUGACAAAGGGUUCCUAAUUAUCUCCCAUGUGGCAGACACAGUGCUAGGUACCCAGAGGUUUGUCCUUAGAUGCUCCCCUUUUCAUUCCACAUCUCAGGGGCUCUUGUUCAUUCUGAUGGCUUCAAUUCUGAAAUCCAUAACUCCAGCCCAGACUUUGUUUCCUGAGCUUCUAGCUCAUAUAUGUAACUGCUUCCUGGACAUUCCCAUUUCUCAUAGGUAACCUCAAAGUUGAUUUGUUCAAAAAUUACUUCAUGGCUGGGUGCUGUGGCUUAUGCCUGUAAUCCCAGCAUUUUGGGAGGCUGAAGUGGGAGGAUUUCUUGAGCCCAAGAGUUCAAGAAAUUUCAAGACAGCUUCUUUCAAUUUCUGUAGCUAUCCAGUUGCAGACUGGUGAAAUUUGCAAACCAUUGUUAACCACAGACCACACUUUGAGUAGCACCAAAGAGAGGCAACAGAACAGAAUGUACAUAUGUGGUCCUUAGAGCAGGACAGCAGAAGGCAGAAAAAGAAGAUUCUUUUAAGCAAACAGGUAAUAAUGACAUCAUCAGUAACUACAGUUACUGAUGUAGUUCUCUACUAAGUUCUCUGUACUCAAUCAGUUCUCUGUACUAAGAUAUGGGUAACCCGGGGCAGUGCAAGUGCAGAGGAGGCACCUAGGCCAGCCUGGGUAUCAGGGAAGGCAUAAGACAGGUAGGAGUUGGGUGGGGGAAGCAUUAGUGACGAGUGGGAAGGACACUCCAGGCAGAGAAACAAGUUCUGGAGUCAUUCUGCAGCAUAUGGGUUAGAGGAUGACCUUUCCUGUGAUUUGAUGGCUACUUGUCUCUGCGCAUCAGCAUUAGUUUCCAUGUGUAUAAAAUGGAUAUGAUAAUCCUUUCUUUGAAUCACAAAAAGAUAAAGCAUGAGAUGUACCUGUUAUAAUGCCUGGUGCUUGCUAAUAUUGCUGUUCUGUGUGUAAAAGAUACAGGAGUCAGAGCUGCCACAGACAGCGAGUUACAGCACUUUGCAGGGGACAGCUCAUGGACCCAGGACUGGAGCCCAGAAUGACAAGGGUUCUGGAAGGUAACAGGGAAAAUGGCAGUGGGGUGGGCAGCAUGCCUGCCCCUGAGUCAUUCCCAGGCCUAGGUGUGUGUCUACAGGAUGGACUGUCAGGGGAGGAUAGGGUGCAUUGUAAGGUUGGGGGAGGAGGCAGGACCUCAGGGCAAACUCCUCUGACCUACAAGGCCCAGGCAUUCCAGAUGUCCACGCAAAAAUUGGCUCCAAAUUAAAAGGCUGAAAGGUGGGGCUGGCUCUGUCCUAUUUUGAUAUGCUUUGAGGCAUUCGAUAAAGAUGUUAAUGGGAUCAUUCAUAAAUCAGGAAACUAAUCCUCUGAGGUGCUGGUUGCUAAUGAAGCGAGAAUCAGGAAGAUUAAAUCACAGAUUUCAAAAUCUCAGGCUGGAAUUUAAUCCCAGACCUUGAGUCCAGACUUCAUCUCAAACAGAUGGCAUGGUUCGAAACAUAUCCCGACUGCAGUAGUCACUUGGAAAUGAGUUCCCAGUAGUCCUUGCAGUUCAACCAAAUACUACUUCUGGGAAUGGGGCAUGGAAAUGGGACGUCGGGGUGCAGCAAAGGCUUCCUGGAGGUGACCCCAAGGGAGAGUGGCCUAUAGUAGACACUCAUUAAAUAUUGGUAAAACAAAUGGAGUUAGUAGAUGAAGAAAAGGGGGAAGAGCAUUCCAGGCAGAGAUAAUACAGGGCCACCUGGCAGGGUCAAGAAGACUUGGGGCCCCUUGGCAUAUUAAAGUGGGCGGUGGUAGCAGUCUGUCCACAUGCAGGCUAGAAGGGGUGCAUAUCUAUAAAGAGCUUAACAAUAAUAGAUCCAACUAAAAGUUGGUCUGCCUUUUAUUAUUGCUGUGUGCCAGUGAUUUUUAAAUACUGUUGAAAUACUCCUCUCCUAAAAAAUCUUUUGUUGGUUUAAGUUCUAAAUAAUUGCUGUAGAUACUGAAUUUUAUUUGUACAUGUAAACUUCACACUAACACAUUUUUAUUAGCGAUCCUUUAAUAAAUAUUGCAUUCUAUGUGGAAGUUCAUUUGGAGAAUGCUUGGUUAUAUAGUCACACCAAUACCCAUCUUUGGAGCUCACUUUAGGCAAGGGUCACAUCUCCUACCCCUGUGGUAUUAGACACAUCCAAGUUUACACUGUAGAUUCAGAAUAAACAAUCAUGAGUUACUGUCAGUGAUGACAAAGACAAACAGGGCUUGACUUUUUUCAAUUCUGUCAUUCUAUGUAACCAGUUGGACUUUUGUGUUAAAACAGUGGGACAGGCCAGGCGCGGUGGCUCAUGCCUGUAAUCCCAACACUUUGGGAUGCCGAGGUGGGCGGAUCAUGAGGUCAGGAGAUCGAGACCAUCCUGGCUAACACAGUGAAACCCCGUCUCUACUACAAAUACACACACACAAAAAAAUUAGCCAAGAGUGGUGGCAGGCGCCUGUAGUCACAGCUACUUGGGAGGCUGAGGCAGGAGAAUGGCAUGAACCCGGGAGGCGGAGCUUGCAGUGAGCCGAGAUCGCGCCACUGCACUCUAGCCUGGGCAAUGGAGCGAGACUCUGUGUCAAAAAAAAAAAAAAAAAAAAAACCAAAACAAAAAAAAAACAAAAACCAGUGGGACAGAGUGCAAACUGAGAGGCAAAACAUUUUUGUUUGUUAAGUGCAAAUUUUUAAUUUGUACAUGAAAUAUGUUACUGAAUUUGAAUAAAAAUUUACCUUUGAAAUGAAAACCUAUUCCUUUAUACUUGUUAAUGGUUUUAAAAUGAAAGAUGAAUAAAGGAAAUAAAUGUUAUAGCCUAAGUAUUAUUGCCUAAAUUGUAUCUUAUUUAGAUGCUUUGGUUUUAUUAAAAUUUGCUUGUUGGUUGCUGGAUGACCAUUUACAUAAGGGAGUAUAUCAGAUUGUAAAGAAAGGAUCAAAAUUUAAACAGGUAGAUGUGAAAAUGAUUGAAAUAAAUAGUUGUGCCUUUUUCAUUUUUUGGAGCCAUAAUAUUAAUUUUAUGUAUUUAUUUUAUGAUGUGAGUAUGCAUACAAAUUUUGGCAAAUAAAUUUUUCA